GCGCGGUUGGUUUAGUGGUAGAAUAUUGCCCUUCCAAGGCGAAGACACGGGUUCGAUUCCCGUACCGCGCA
rnacentral:tRNA from 1 species